UCAAUGUCCAUACGUCAAAACGUCAGGUCAAGGUGCAGUAGAUAAAAUGGGAAGAGAUGGGCUACACUCUCUAAUAUAGAAGACACGAAAGACUAUUUAUGAAACCUAGUCAGAAGGCGGAUUUAGGAGUAAAGAGGGAUCAUGAAGCUCUCUUUAACACGGCCCUGGGGUGUGUACUCACCGCCCGUCACCCUCUUCGAAGCAAUAAAACAGUAUUUAACACGAGUCAGCUAGUUAGAAGAGGUAAGUCGUAACAUGGUAAGUGUACCGGAAGGUGCACUUGGAAA
rnacentral:rRNA from 1 species